UAGGGAAUCUUCCGCAAUGGACGAAAGUCUGACGGAGCAACGCCGCGUGAGUGAAGAAGGUCUUCGGAUCGUAAAACUCUGUUAUCAGGGAAGAACAAGUACCGGAGUUACUGCCGGUACCUUGACGGUACCUGACCAGAAAGCCACGGCUAACUACGUGCCAGCAGCCGCGGUAAUACGUAGGUGGCAAGCGUUGUCCGGAAUUAUUGGGCGUAAAGCGCGCGCAGGCGGUUCUUUAAGUCUGAUGUGAAAUCUUGCGGCUCAACCGUGAGCGGUCAUUGGAAACUGGAGAACUUGAGUGCAGAAGAGAAGAGCGGAAUUCCACGUGUAGCGGUGAAAUGCGUAGAGAUGUGGAGGAACACCAGUGGCGAAGGCGGCUCUUUGGUCUGUAACUGACGCUGAGGCGCGAAAGCGUGGGGAGCGAACAGGAUUAGAUACCCUGGUAGUCCACGCCGUAAACGAUGAGUGCUAAGUGUUAGAGGGUUUCCGCCCUUUAGUGCUGCAGCAAACGCAUUAAGCACUCCGCCUGGGAGACGCCGCAGNUG
rnacentral:rRNA from 1 species